AUUGAACGCUGGCGGCAUGCUUUACACAUGCAAGUCGAACGGUAACAGGUUAAGCUGACGAGUGGCGAACGGGUGAGUAAUGCAUCGGAACGUGCCCGGUCGUGGGGGAUAACACUUCGAAAGAAGUGCUAAUACCGCUUACGAUCUGAGGAUGAAAGCGGGGGACCGUAAGGCCUCGCGCGAUCGGAGCGGCCGGUGUCAGAUUAGGUAGUUGGUGGGGUAAAGGCCCACCAAGCCGACGAUCUGUAGCUGGUCUGAGAGGACGACCAGCCACACUGGGACUGAGACACGGCCCAGACUCCUACGGGAGGCAGCAGUGGGGAAUUUUGGACAAUGGGCGCAAGCCUGAUCCAGCAAUGCCGCGUGCAGGAAGAAGGCCUUCGGGUUGUAAACUGCUUUUGUACGGAGCGAAAAGGCUCCCUCUAAUACAGGGGGCUGAUGACGGUACCGUAAGAAUAAGCACCGGCUAACUACGUGCCAGCCGCCGCCGUAA
rnacentral:rRNA from 1 species